rnacentral:rRNA from 1 species
AGUGAACGCUGGCGAUAGGCCUAACACAUGCAAGUCGAACGGCAGCACAGUAAGAGCUUGCUCUUACGGGUGGCGAGUGGCGGACGGGUGAGGAAUACAUCGGAAUCUACUUUUUCGUGGGGGAUAACGUAGGGAAACUUACGCUAAUACCGCAUACGACCUACGGGUGAAAGCAGGGGAUCUUCGGGCCUUGCGCGAUUGAAUGAGCCGAUGUCGGAUUAGCUAGUUGGCGGGGUAAAGGCCCACCAAGGCGACGAUCCGUAGCUGGUCUGAGAGGAUGAUCAGCCACACUGGAACUGAGACACGGUCCAGACUCCUACGGGAGGCAGCAGUGGGGAAUAUUGGACAAUGGGCGCAAGCCUGAUCCAGCCAUACCGCGUGGGUGAAGAAGGCCUUCGGGUUGUAAAGCCCUUUUGUUGGGAAAGAAAAGCAGCAGGUUAAUACCCCGCUGUUCUGACGGUACCCAAAGAAUAAGCACCGGCUAACUUCGUG